rnacentral:rRNA from 1 species
GAUGAACGCUGGCGGCGUGCCUAAUACAUGCAAGUCGAGCGAACAGACGAGGAGCUUGCUCCUCUGACGUUAGCGGCGGACGGGUGAGUAACACGUGGAUAACCUACCUAUAAGACUGGGAUAACUUCGGGAAACCGGAGCUAAUACCGGAUAAUAUAUUGAACCGCAUGGUUCAAUAGUGAAAGACGGUUUUGCUGUCACUUAUAGAUGGAUCCGCGCCGCAUUAGCUAGUUGGUAAGGUAACGGCUUACCAAGGCAACGAUGUGUAGCCGACCUGAGAGGGUGAUCGGCCACACUGGAACUGAGACACGGUCCAGACUCCUACGGGAGGCAGCAGUAGGGAAUCUUCCGCAAUGGGCGAAAGCCUGACGGAGCAACGCCGCGUGAGUGAUGAAGGUCUUCGGAUCGUAAAACUCUGUUAUUAGGGAAGAACAAAUGUGUAAGUAACUAUGCACGUCUUGACGGUACCUAAUCAGAAAGCCACGGCUAACUACGUG